GCUUGUCUCAAAGAUUAAGCCAUGCACGUCUAAGUAUAAGCGAUUAUACUGUGAAACUGCGAAUGGCUCAUUAUAUCAGUUAUAGUUUAUUUGAUGGUCCUUGCUACUUGGAUAACUGUAGUAAUUCUAGAGCUAAUACAUGCGUAAAGUCCCGACUCUUGCGGGGAGGGAUGUAUUUAUUAGAUAAAAAACCAAUGCGGCCUCUGGUCGGUAUUGUGGUGAAUCAUAGUAACUUUUCGAAUCGCAUGGCUUCACGCCGGCGAUAGUUCAUUCAAAUUUCUGCCCUAUCAGCUUUCGACGGUAGUGUAGUGGACUACCGUGGCGUUAACGGGUAACGGAGAAUUAGGGUUCGAUUCCGGAGAGGGAGCCUGAGAAACGGCUACCACAUCCAAGGAAGGCAGCAGG
rnacentral:rRNA from 1 species